AUAUUAUUAGGCGGAGGAAAAGAAACUAACAAGGAUUCCCUUAGUAACGGCGAGUGAAGCGGGACAAGCUCAGACUGAAAAUCUUCGGAGUUGUAGUCUGUAGAAGUGUAACUAGUUGGAAGUUUGGAAGAAAUCUCCUGGAACGGAGUGCCUAGGAGGGUGAUAGCCCCGUUACUCCAUUUUUCCAACGUCCGGUUCACUUUCAAAGAGUCGAGUUGUUUGGGAUUGCAGCUCUAAGUGGGUGGUAAAUUCCAUCUAGAGCUAAAUAUUGGUAGGAGACCGAUAGCGCACAAGUA
rnacentral:rRNA from 1 species